rnacentral:rRNA from 1 species
UGGGGAAUAUUGCACAAUGGGGGAAACCCUGAUGCAGCGACGCCGCGUGAGCGAAGAAGGCUUUCGAGUCGUAAAGCUCUGUCCUAUGAGAAGAUAAUGACGGUAUCAUGGGAGGAAGCCCUGGCUAAAUACGUGCCAGCAGCCGCGGUAAUACGUAUGGGGCGAGCGUUGUCCGGAAUUAUUGGGCGUAAAGGGUACGUAGGCGGUUUUUUAAGUCAGGUGUCAAAGCGUGGAGCUUAACUCCAUUAAGCACUUGAAACUGAAAGACUUGAGUGAAGGAGAGGAAAGUGGAAUUCCUAGUGUAGCGGUGAAAUGCGUAGAUAUUAGGAGGAAUACCGGUGGCGAAGGCGACUUUCUGGACUUUUACUGACGCUCAGGUACGAAAGCGUGGGGAGCAAACAGG